rnacentral:rRNA from 1 species
UGGCUCAGGAUGAACGCUGGCGGCGUGCUUAACACAUGCAAGUCGAACAGAACACCCUUGAAGGAGUUUUCGGACAACUGAGAGGACUGUUUAGUGGCGGACGGGUGAGUAACGCGUGAGUAACCUGCCUUGGAGUGGGGAAUAACACAGAGAAAUUUGUGCUAAUACCGCAUAAUGCAGCUGAGUCGCAUGGCUCUGGCUGCCAAAGAUUUAUCGCUCUGAGAUGGACUCGCGUCUGAUUAGCUAGUUGGCGGGGUAACGGCCCACCAAGGCGACGAUCAGUAGCCGGACUGAGAGGUUGGCCGGCCACAUUGGGACUGAGACACGGCCCAGACUCCUACGGGAGGCAGCAGUGGGGAAUAUUGGGCAAUGGGCGCAAGCCUGACCCAGCAACGCCGCGUGAAGGAAGAAGGCUUUCGGGUUGUAAACUUCUUUUCUCAGGGACGAAGCAAGUGACGGUACCUGAGGAAUAAGCCACGGCUAACUACGUGCCAGCAGCCGCGGUAAUACGUAGGUGGCAAGCGUUAUCCGGAUUUACUGGGUGUAAAGGGCGUGUAGGCGGGAAAGCAAGUCAGAUGUGAAAACCAUGGGCUCAACCUGUGGCCUGCAUUUGAAACUGUUUUUCUUGAGUACUGGAGAGGCAGACGGAAUUCCUAGUGUAGCGGUGAAAUGCGUAGAUAUUAGGAGGAACACCAGUGGCGAAGGCGGUCUGCUGGACAGCAACUGACGCUGAGGCGCGAAAGCGUGGGGAGCAAACAGGAUUAGAUACCCUGGUAGUCCACGCUGUAAACGAUGGAUACUAGGUGUGGGGGGACUGACCCCCUCCGUGCCGCAGUUAACACAAUAAGUAUCGCACCUGGGGAGUACGAUCGCAAGGUUGAAACUCAAAGGAAUUGACGGGGGCCCGCACAAGCGGUGGAGUAUGUGGUUCAAUUAGAAGCAACGCGAAGAACCUUAUCAGGGCUUGACAUCUCACGGACAGAUGUAGAGAUACAUCCUUCCCUUCGGGGAUUGUGGUGACAGGUGGUGCAUGGUUGUCGUCAGCUCGUGUCGUGAGAUGUUGGGUUAAGUCCCGCAACGAGCGCAACCCUUAUUGUUAGUUGCUAGCAAGAGCACUCUAGCGAGACUGCCGUUGACAAAACGGAGGAAGGUGGGGACGACGUCAAAUCAUCAUGCCCCUUAUGUCCUGGGCCACACACGUACUACAAUGGUGGUCAACAGAGGGAAGCAAUGCCGCGAGGCGGAGCAAAUCCCUAAAAGCCAUCCCAGUUCGGAUCGCAGGCUGCAACCCGCCUGCGUGAAGUUGGAAUCGCUAGUAAUCGCGGAUCAGCAUGCCGCGGUGAAUACGUUCCCGGGCCUUGUACACACCGCCCGUCACACCAUGAGAGUCGGGAACACCCGAGUCCGUAGCCUAACCGCAAGGGGGGCGCGGCCGAAGGUGGGUUCGAUAAUUGGGGUGAAGUCGUAACAAGGUAGCCGU